AUUUUCAGCCUGAAAGACUGAGGAAGCAGAAUAAGGAGAGAGUUUGGAAGAUGCAGAUGUCCUGGUUCCAGAAGGGAAAGGAAAGGAGUCUGGGAGUGAUGAGAAAAGUUGCAUUUAUUGAGCACUUACAAUUUAUUGGACUAAGCUGGUUACAUGCACCAUCGCCUUAAAUCCACACAAAAAAUUUAGGAUUUAUUAUCCCCAUUUCAUAGCUAAGAAACUGAUGCUCAGAGAGGUUAAGUGACUUGUUCAAGGCAGUCCAGACAGUCCAGCUCCAGAAGCCAAGCUCCACAGACUCCAGCGAGGUCUCUCCUUAGUUGGGGUUGGGAAGGGGGAGGGGCUCAGGGGAGUCAUGCCAGGCAGUGUCUGUCCCCUUCCCUCCUACUCCCAGAAGAUGAGGCUGCUUUCAGUAUAAUCCCCUCUCCCUGCUCUCCCUGCCCCUGGUUCAGCCCCAGCCAGAACUCCUAAAUACUUCACCUGUUUAUUAUUCAAAUAUUGCUGGCCAGAGAUUGGGAGACCCUGAGGAAAGGUGAAGAGGAAGGUGAGGAGAUAACAAGGGAGAGCCAGAGAGAGUAAGAGGUAGAGCAAGAGACAGAGAGAGACACAGGGGCCAAGCAGAAAGCAGGGGCGUUUGAGGGAGCACUGGUGACAGAAGGCCAGGAUGUACAGUGACCCACAACCUGGACAGUUAGAGCUCAGCCCAUCCACUGGCCGGUGAUGGAAUGGAUGGAAGGUGAUAGAAGGAACUCCUACUCCCCACCCCCAGCUCUGUCUCCACCCACCCUUCCACCUUCACACCCGAGCUUCUCCUUCCCCUCCCCCACCAUCUUCUCAGGAACAAUUCUAAUUAGACUAAGUGACUAAGAGGAGGUUUCAGCCUGAGCAGCCAAUUAGGCCUGGAAGAAGGGAAGGGAGCCCCCCCCACCAAGUCUCCCACCCCCACCCAACCCCCUCAUCUGUCUUUUACCUGGACCAAGUAUUCUUAGCCCAGGACUCCAGACUGUCAUUCAAGUUUCCCUGAUACUCCUCCUCCCUCACUGCCCACUGUGCCCCAUUACCUGUUUCCAGACAGCCCCCAGCCCACUGCUUAGUCCCCGUCUUGAGCCCCUCCAUCCUCAGGCCUUGAGUCCAUUCAAGAGUCUCUGGUGGGGGGGGGGGGUGGUGCAAGGAAAGAGUGGGGUCCUCCUUGGGAGGCUGUCUUUCUGAGUCUCUUUAUUUCUGAUGUUUCUCCUCUGUCUCUCCCUCUCUCUCUUCUCUUCCUCUGGCACUUAUUUCUAACAUCCGUGGACCAGGCCUACUGGUUGCCAUGGAGACGCAGUGUGCAGCUGGAUGGGCCUUGGCAGCUGCCCUUUCCUUCGCCUGGAAUGCUCUGUUCUGAGCUCUACAUCUCCAGGUUUCCUCAGAUAAGCUACUCAGGCCACAUUCCAAGAGACAGUAGGGAUCAUGCCUGUCUAAUUCAGUGCUGUAAUGCCAGCACCUGGCACCGGGCCUACCACAUAGUAGGUGCUAAAUAUGUGUUCAGUAAAAGAAUGGACAAAUUCUUUCACUGAAGUGCCACAAGAAUCCUCGGUGAUGGUGAGCAUUAUUAUUCCCAUUUUACAGAUGAAGAAAUGAAGGCUCAGUCACCUGCCCAAGGUCAUACCACUAAGAAGCAGUACAGCCAGAUUUCUAAUGUAAGUCUCUGACUCCAGAUGUGAGGGAAGGAGGUAGGGACCAUCUUUCCUAACCUUCAAUGCACCUGGCUCCUGUUCCUGUUUGUCUGUGGGUGUCUCUACUCCCAUCCCAGGCAUCCCCACAGAAACCUGUGCAGAAAAGCGAGAAGGACAGUUAAAACCUGUAAAGAAUGUGAAUUUGGGGCACCCGGGUGACUCAGUUGGUUAAGCGUCUGACUUCGGCUCAGGUCAUGAUCUCAUGGCUCGUGGGUUCGAGCCCCAGACACACUUUGUGCUGACACCUCAGAGCCUGGAGUCUGCUUUGGAUUGUGUGUCUCCCUCUCUCUGCCCUUGCCCUGCUCUCUCUCAAAAAUAAACAAACAAACAAACAAACAAAACAAAAGAAUGUGAAUCUGACCUUUUUUUCCAGGAUCUCUCAAUGGCUCCUCUUUCCCUCCUUAAGUUGACCAGCAGGGCCUUCUAAUUCUGCACCACCACCAUCCCCCUUCCUUUUCAACUUUACCUGCCCUCCUCAGUUACCUUCCCCUCCUCCUA